AUACGGAAGGUCCGGGCGUUAUCCGGAUUUAUUGGGUUUAAAGGGAGCGCAGGCGGAGAUGCAAGCGUGACGUCAAAUUUCGGGGCUCAACCCCGUCUCGCGUCGCGAACUGCGUCCCUUGGUUGCGGGAAGGGGAGGCGGAACUCGUGGUGUAGCGGUGAAAUGCAUAGAUAUCACGAAGAACUCCGAUCGCGAAGGCAGCCUUCCGGCCCGUCAACGACGCUCAUGCUCGAAGGUGCGGGUAUCAAACAGGAUUAGAUACCCUGGUAGUCCGCACAGUAAACGAUGGACGCCCGCGGUUUGGCCUAUAUGGCUGAGCCGCCAAGCGAAAGCGUUAAGUGUCCCACCUGGGGAGUACGCCGGCAACGGUGAAACUCAAAGGAAUUGACGGGG
rnacentral:rRNA from 1 species